ACAAACUUGGUCAUUUAGAGGAAGUAAAAGUCGUAACAAGGUUUCCGUAGGUGAACCUGCGGAAGGAUCAUUAUUGGCUAUAGGGUCCCAAUCGGGCCCCAUGCUCCAGCCCUGUUGUGUAUGUACUGUGUUGCUCUGGCAAGAUCCCGAUGGGGGUCCACUGCCAGAGUGAAAUAAUCCAUACAACUCUAUUAGAAUGGUCUGAGGAUUCCAUUCAAAACCUUCAACAAUGGAUCUCUUGGUUCUGGCAUCGAUGAAGAACGCAGC
rnacentral:misc_RNA from 1 species